rnacentral:misc_RNA from 1 species
GUAGGUGAACCUGCGGAGGGAUCAUUACAAGUGACCCCGGUCUAACCACCGGGAUGUUCAUAACCCUUUGUUGUCCGACUCUGUUGCCUCCGGGGCGACCCUGCCUUCGGGCGGGGGCUCCGGGUGGACACUUCAAACUCUUGCGUAACUUUGCAGUCUGAGUAAACUUAAUUAAUAAAUUAAAACUUUUAACAACGGAUCUCUUGGUUCUGGCAUCGAUGAAGAACGCAGCAUCUGACUGACUUACGAC